rnacentral:piRNA from 1 species
UAGAUUAUCUCUGCUUCUCUAGUGUCAACU